GUAUUUUGACACAGAAGAAGAUGGCUGCAGCAGACAGUUAUUCCAGAUGUGAUGUCCAGAAUUUUAAGAAAAAUCGAGAAGAUGCCACAUAAAACAGCACAGAUGUCACAGACAUAGAAA